rnacentral:rRNA from 1 species
GGGGGGGGGGGGGGGGGGGGGUGGGGGGUGGGAGGGGGGGGGAGGGGCGCGGGGGGGGGGGGGUGCUCGGUUGGGGAAAUGGGGAGUGGCAGGUGCGUGAGCUGUCUGUGGCUUUGGGAUGACUUCAGGCACAUGGGGAUGAUGACGCGUAGGCCAGCCGGCGUCCCGGUGGGGAUUGUAUGGUUUCUUCGGUUGGGGAUCGACUCGCGUCUUAUCGGCGUGUUGUUGGGGCAGUGGCUGACCAAGGCUUUGGCGGGUAGCAGGCCUGAGAGGGUGCCCGGCCAUAUUGGGCCUGAGAUACGGCCCAGACUCCUACGGGAGGCAGCAGUGGGGAAUAUUGCACAAUGGGCGGAAGCCUGAUGCAGCAACGCCGCGUGCGGGAUGACGGCCUUCGGGUUGUAAACCGCUUUCGCCUGUGACGAAGCGUGAGUGACGGUAAUGGGUAAAGAAGCACCGGCUAACUACGUG